rnacentral:lncRNA from 1 species
CUGAUGUCCUAACCCCAGUACCUCAGAAUGUGACUAUAAAGAGGUAAUUAAAUUAAAAUGAGGUCAUUAAGGUGGACCCUAUUUCAAUUUUACUGGUGUGCUUAGAAGAAGAGGAGAUUAGGACAGACUCCAACAGAGGAAAGACCACGUGAAGACACAGGGAGAAGGCGCCGUCUACAAGCUAAGGAGAGAAGCCUCAGAAUGAAGCCAACCCUAUGGACAUCUUGAUCUUGGACAUCCGGCCUCCAGAAUUCUCCCUGAGGGUGUCCUAGAAGCCAAGCAGAUGCCAGCGCCAUGCUUCCUGUACAGCCUGCAGAACUG